rnacentral:lncRNA from 1 species
AGGAUCUCAACUCACUGCAACCUCUGCCUCCCGGGUUCAAGCGAUUCUCCUGCCUUAGCCUCCCUGGUAGCUGGGCUUAUAGGAGCCCGCCACCACACCCAGCUAAUUUUUGUAUUUUAUUUCAUUUAUUUAUUUUUUUGAGAUGGAGCAUCGCUCUCUCACCCAGGCUGGAGUGCAGUGACAUGAUCUCUGCUCACUGCAAGCUCCACCUCAUGGGUUCAGGCCGUUCUCCUGCCUCAGCCUUCCAAGUAGCUGGGACUACAGGCGUCC